rnacentral:pre_miRNA from 1 species
GUGUGUUUGUGUGUGGAUGGCGUUCAGCACCAGGGACAGGUGUGUUUGUGUGGGGAUGGUGUUCAGCGCUGAUAACAUGUGUGUUUUACC